rnacentral:rRNA from 1 species
GGAUCAACUAACUGGUCGUGCCUAUGGUACGUACUGGUUUUGUUGGUUUCUCCCUCUGAGGAGCCGCGAUGUCAUUAACUUGGUGUCGUGGGGAAUCAGACUGUUACUUUGAAAAAAUUAGAGUGUUUAAAGCAGGCUAACGCCUGAAUACAUUAGCAUGGAAUAAUGGAAUAGGGCUGC